ACAGUCACAUAUCUAACGGUAAAGGUCUGGUUAAGAAGGACCUGCGUGAUUUUUGUCGGUUAAUUGUGUUCGAUAAUUUACAAGCUGCUAAAAUUAAUGUUGAACACUGCAAGUGUCCCUACCCACAAAGUCAAUAGCACCCAAAGCUGUUAUGACCGUUUUUGUUUUGUUUUGUGUGGGGGCUCUUUUCUUUUUUCUUUUUUUAGUUGCGUCUCAUAUAAUUUAUAGAUGAAGAUUACGAUAAAAAGAUGUUCACUGCUAUUUUAGUCAUCAUUAAUAGCGAGAAUGCAAUAGCACAACUACCGGGCUUUUGUUGACUACGACCUGCUCUUAAGGAGUUAUUAAUUAUAAACCACAAAUCCAGAAGCAAACAAGGUUACCGAUAUGUCGAGGACACCUGCACUGUUCUUGACUCGAAAACACCCACAAAUCAACAGUUUGCGAGGCACAAAAGGCGUCCUUCAUUCAUGAUGAGGCAGCAGGGACAAGGUCCACAUGUGUUUACUGACAUUCCUGUGUGUUCAUCGUAUGCUCACGUCAACGAGAUGUUUAUCUGAAGUGUUUUUAGUGCGUUUAGUGCCUCACUACAGUAAUUUCUACAAACUGUUUAAUAAUAAUGUUCAAUUCUAAUAUUUAAUGUUACAAUUUCACGGAUGUCUAGUCAGAGCAGGAUACCCCUUUGCAUUUAUUAUUUGUCGUAUGCGUCUAUCGGGGAAGCCCACCAACAGGACAUACAAUAUUUAUAUUUAUGACCAAAUUUUGGUCACGCAGCGACCUCUGUGUUCUAAAGGAUCUGACUAGUGAAGAAAAUUCAGCAAGUAAUGGAUGCUUGAGUAGGAACUACCCAUAAACAACAUUUAUUGAGAGAAUUAGACAAAAGAUCAGCAGACGGCUACCCUCCCAAAACACACCUGGCUUUCAGUGAUGGCUGUUGCCUCUCCCAGCUGUAACCACAACACACCUCUUGUUUCUGGACUGGAAAGGAAGUGCCAAGGCCAAAGGAUCCUAAUUAAAAACAGAAAGAAAAUAAAGAGGGCAACCUGAGCGAAAAACAACAACAAAAUUAAACGUUCCAACAAGCGCCCUCUUUGUCUGCCAUCAUUGUCGGGACAGUCGAUUUAAUACCCCGUUUCUCAACACAACAGCUCAGGGUCAAAUCACCCGACAUUGUUUUGAUGUGGCUUAUCGUUUUCCGCGAAAUUAUGCAAAGGACGGUCGUUAGGAGCGCGAGAAACAAGCUCCCUUGUCGUCGCCGCCCUGACUCACUCCGCGAAGCUGAGGUUAUUCACAAACAACGGGGUUUCCGCGCAUGCGCGCGGGGCCGCAGCACUUGUCGUCAUUAUCAGCCAAUGGAAAAGUCCCGUAGUUAAAAAUAGUUCUCCCGCUCCCCACGGCAGUGGGCGGCGCCAUGCAAAGUGCGUGCGCACCUGCCCACGUGGUCUCGCUGCCCGUGACGUCACAGAGCGUGCUUGCGAAACGUGAAGAGGAGGAGCUUGGGGAAAAUACGAGUUUAGGAUAUUUUUCCCUUUUUUUUGAGAAUUGUCCUUGAAAACUGUUGACAGAGACAUUUGUUCUCUUUCUCGGAUAUGAUCGUUCGUGGUGAGGAUGACAGUUACCGCGAAACAAGUUUGGACAGACCAGGGUUGAAAGGCUCGCACCGACCGCCACCGUUUCUCGAGUCCCUUUCUUUCUCCAUCCUGUAGCCUGCUGCAGCAGCCGACAGCCGCGAGCACUCUCGGCGACAACAAAGGCCCCUGCCCCGAGGCGUGCUGGGACCGACACUACACUGAGCACCAGUCACUCACUGUGUGAAAGGAACGAAUGCAGAAUUUGGCGAGGAAGAGGAGGUUGAUGUAAAUGUAAAAGACAGCGAAUAUGAAAACUUUCAAAAUGAUUAGGAUUCUCACCACCCCACCCAAGAUGUCCCGUGUGCAGACAGGAGGCUGUGAAAUAGUCUACAAACCGAGGAGAGAAAACAGUAAAUAAAUAGUGGAUUAAAAGAACGGGGGAGACUCGGCGAAGUGCAUUGAGUUGUUGAUACUGAUGAAAGCUUUGUUCGCGACAAGGUUUUAAUGUAGAGGUAGAACGUGUGUAUAGCAUCUGUAGAUUCUCUCGGCGUCCUACUCUUUCUAUGCACAAAUCAAAACAAGGUAGUGGGUUACACAAAUGGCCCUUGACAUACACCGCUGCCUUGCUAAAAAUACGAGACAGCAAGGUAAAUUAUCUCUAAAUAAUAUACUAGAGCAUCAAACCUACUUCACAUAAUUCAAAUAAAACUAACAUUUAACAUGAACGUCACGUGUGAGCGAGCACACACACACAGAU